rnacentral:lncRNA from 1 species
UCGUGCAUUUACAAUGAAGAAGAUAAUGAUUAUAUAUAGAGCCUAACUAACUAACUAAUGGAAUAGUCACACGUGAUUAAAAUAAACAAGAAGUUAAAGAUCAUGUUUUCUUGUUGUGCAAGGUAUCUGCACUAUAGCUAUAGACCCAUGCCUAUGCCAAGCUAAGUUUGUCCAAGCAACAUUGAUCAUGUAGUUACGGGAUCAUGUAGUUACGGUCAGAUGGCCCAUGUGUCCCAUGUGCCUUGACUUCAUUGUCUCGGUCAGAUGGCCCAUGCGUCGUGACUCUGUCGUCUUAGCCACAUGGCCCAUACGUCAUGUAGUUGAUACGGUCACAUGCAUUGGUGCCUCGGUCAUGUGCUUUGGUGCUGGUCCAGUCAUGCAUCUUGGUCCUGUCUCAAUCAGGUGACUUGGCCCUGUCUCGAUCAAGUGCCUUGAUCCUGUGAUUUUCUCGGUCACGAUAGAACUUGUCUCGGUCAUGGUUGAGAAUGCCUCGGUCAAGUUGCUUUCCUUGGUCAAUCUCAUUAUUGCUUAAUAACCCCUUUUCUUCUUCUAUUGUUGUGAAAAUUCUUGAAAUCUACUCUCCAAUUAUGUCCUUUUUCUUUGUGUUAUUAUUCAUUUUGCUUUCCCUUUUAUUAAAAUGACUCAUUUUCUACUUGAAAUUGAAACUAUGUAUUCCCUUAUACUUCAAGUGUGAAUCACCAUAUUCAAAUCCAAAUUCGAAGUUGAAGUAUUCUUGUCUUAUGAUGUGCCUUCUCUGUAUUUCAUGUUCUUUAAAAAGGUAUAAAAUAAAAAACCCAAUAAUAUGAAGCUCAAAAUGCAUUCUCUAAAGGAGAAUGAUGAAAAUAAAAAAUUGGAGAUAUGAAUAAGUUCUAAACAUC